UAGUGAUUAGAGUUUGAUCAUGGCUCAGAUUGAACGCUGGCGGCAUGCCUUACACAUGCAAGUCGAACGGCAGCGCGGGAGCAAUCCUGGCGGCGAGUGGCGAACGGGUGAGUAAUACAUCGGAACGUGCCCAAUCGUGGGGGAUAACGCAGCGAAAGCUGUGCUAAUACCGCAUAAGAUCUACGGAUGAAAGCAGGGGAUCGCAAGACCUUGCGCGAAUGGAGCGGCCGAUGGCAGAUUAGGUAGUUGGUGAGGUAAAGGCUCACCAAGCCUUCGAUCUGUAGCUGGUCUGAGAGGACGACCAGCCACACUGGGACUGAGACACGGCCCAGACUCCUACGGGAGGCAGCAGUGGGGAAUUUUGGACAAUGGGCGCAAGCCUGAUCCAGCCAUGCCGCGUGCGGGAAGAAGGCCUUCGGGUUGUAAACCGCUUUUGUCAGGGAAGAAAAGGUUCUGGUUAAUACCUGGGACUCAUGACGGUACCUGAAGAAUAAGCACCGGCUAACUACGUGCCAGCAGCCGCGGUAAUACGUGGGGUGCAAGCGUUAAUCGGAAUUACUGGGCGUAAAGCGUGCGCAGGCGGUUAUGCAAGACAGAGGUGAAAUCCCCGGGCUCAACCUGGGAACUGCCUUUGUGACUGCAUAGCUAGAGUACGGUAGAGGGGGAUGGAAUUCCGCGUGUAGCAGUGAAAUGCGUAGAUAUGCGGAGGAACACCGAUGGCGAAGGCAAUCCCCUGGACCUGU
rnacentral:rRNA from 1 species